GUGGUCUUCUUGCAUCCCGAGAGGAGUUGGAGAUUCCGGAACAAUCCUUUGGCUGUCAACUUCACAUGGAAGUUAGACAGAGAGAGUCUAGGAGACCAUAACAUGUCUCUGGUGAGAUAUUCCUCUAGUAUAGACGCAAAGAAAAAAGGAGGGAACAAUGAGAGGAAAAUAUAAAAAGUUUCUUUAGAAUCUAGGUAGAUAAUCCUCCAGUACAGACUCCAGACUAGGUUAGUCUCUAGGUAGAUACUCCUCCAGUACAGACUCCAGACUAGGUUAGUCUCUAGGUAGAUACUCCUCCAGUACAGACUCCAGACUAGGUUAGUCUCUAGGUAGAUACUCCUCCAGUACAGACUCCAGACUAGGUUAGUCUCUAGGUAGAUACUCCUCCAGUACAGACUCCAGACUAGGUUAGUCUCCAGGUAGAUACUCCUCCAGUACAGACUCCAGACUAGGUUAGUCUCUAGGUAGAUACUCCUCCAGUACAGACUCCAGACUAGGUUAGUCUCUAGGUAGAUACUCCUCCAGUACAGACUCCAGACUAGGUUAGUCUCUAGGUAGAUACUCCUCCAGUACAGACUCCAGACUAGGUUAGUCUCUAGGUAGAUACUCCUCCAGUACAGACUCCAGACUAGGUUAGUCUCUAGGUAGAUACUCCUCCAGUACAGACUCCAGACUAGGUUAGUCUCUAGGUAGAUACUCCUCCAGUACAGACUCCAGACUAGGUUAGUCUCUAGGUAGAUACUCCUCCAGUACAGACUCCAGACUAGGUUAGUCUCUAGGUAGAUACUCCUCCAGUACAGACUCCAGACUAGGUUAGUCUCUAGGUAGAUACUCCUCCAGUACAGACUCCAGACUAGGUUAGUCUCUUGGUAGAUACUCCUCCAGUACAGACUCCAGACUAGGUUAGUCUCUAGGUAGAUACUCCUCCAGGACAGACUCCAGACUAGGUUAGUCUCUAGGUAGAUACUCCUCCAGUACAGACUCCAGACUAGGUUAGUCUCUAGGUAGAUACUCCUCCAGUACAGACUCCAGACUAGGUUAGUCUCUAGGUAGAUACUCCUCCAGUACAGACUCCAGACUAGGUUAGUCUCUAGGUAGAUACUCCUCCAGUACAGACUCCAGACUAGGUUAGUCUCUAGGUAGAUACUCCUCCAGGACAGACUCCAGACUAGGUUAGUCUCUAGGUAGAUACUCCUCCAGUACAGACUCCAGACUAGGUUAGUCUCUAGGUAGAUACUCCUCCAGGACAGACUCCAGACUAGGUUAGUCUCUAGGUUAGUCUCUAGGAAGA